UGAUUUUUGCCCUGAGUUAGUCUGCCAGGCACCAGCAAAAAAUCUCUCCUGCCCAGUGUGUGGCAUAGCCUGCAUCACAGCAUCUCAGGGAAAGGGGAGCAAGAGUAGAAAAUAAACGGCUACAUCUCCCUGUGCUGAAUGCUUCAGUGCAUGCAGUCACUGCAUAAAGGCCCAUUGCUGCCCGGCCACCCUGUUGAAUCCCACUCUUAAGCUGCUACCUACUUUCCUGACCAACACACAUGCCUGGCACCUCUGCUCCACUUGUUCCCAAUGUUACCGUUUACUAGGGCUCACGUUCUUGAAAGGAACACAGCAGAUGUCAGUGACGUUGCCAUGGUCAUAAAAGUGAGAUGAAUUAGUAUGAUGCUCUGCAGAAGGCCAGAAGUUACUCCUUGGUCAUAUAAAUGGCACUGCAGACUAAUAGCAGUAAAAAUAAUUAACACUCCU